rnacentral:rRNA from 1 species
GAUGAACGCUGGCGGCGUGCCUAAUACACGCAAGUAGAACGCUGAAGGAGGAGCUUGCUCUUCUGGAUGAGUUGCGAACGGGUGAGUAACGCGUAGGUAACCUGCCUGGUAGCGGGGGAUAACUAUUGGAAACGAUAGCUAAUACCGCAUGACAACAGUUAUUGCAUGAUAACUGUUUAAAAGGGGCAACUGCUCCACUACCAGAUGGACCUGCGUUGUAUUAGCUAGUUGGUGAGGUAACGGCUCACCAAGGCGACGAUACAUAGCCGACCUGAGAGGGUGAUCGGCCACACUGGGACUGAGACACGGCCCAGACUCCUACGGGAGGCAGCAGUAGGGAAUCUUCGGCAAUGGACGGAAGUCUGACCGAGCAACGCCGCGUGAGUGAAGAAGGUUUUCGGAUCGUAAAGCUCUGUUGUAAGAGAAGAACGAGUGUGAGAGUGGAAAGUUCACACUGUGACGGUAUCUUACCAGAAAGGGACGGCUAACUACGUG